rnacentral:rRNA from 1 species
CCUACGGGGGGCAGCAGUAAGGAAUAUUGGUCAAUGGAGGGAACUCUGAACCAGCCAUGCCGCGUGCAGGAAGACGGCCCUCUGGGUUGUAAACUGCUUUUAUUCGGGAAUAAACCUAUUUACGUGUAAAUAGCUGAAUGUACCGAAGGAAUAAGGAUCGGCUAACUCCGUGCCAGCAGCCGCGGUAAUACGGAGGAUCCAAGCGUUAUCCGGAUUAAUUGGUGUUAAAGGGUGCUUAGGCGGCAGGGUUGAAAGACGGUGGCUCAACCAUCGCAGUGCCCUUGAUACUGAUGAGCUUGAAUGGACUAGAGGUAGGCGGAAUGUGACAAGUAGCGGUGAAAUGCAUAGAUAUGUCACAGAACACCGAUUGCGAAGGCAGCUUACUAUGGUUUAAUUGACGCUGAGGCACGAAAGCGUGGGGAUCAAACAGGAUUAGAUACCCGAGUAGUC